GAUGGACGCUGGCGGCGUGCCUAAUACAUGCAAGUCGAGCGAACGGACGAGAAGCUUGCUUCUCUGAUGUUAGCGGCGGACGGGUGAGUAACACGUGGAUAACCUACCUAUAAGACUGGGAUAACUUCGGGAAACCGUAGCUAAUACCGGAUAAUAUUUUGAACCGCAUGGUUCAAAAGUGAAGGACGGUCUUGCUGUCACUUAUAGAUGGAUCCGCGCUGCAUUAGCUAGUUGGUAAGGUAACGGCUUACCAAGGCAACGAUGCAUAGCCGACCUGAGAGGGUGAUCGGCCACACUGGAACUGAGACACGGUCCAGACUCCUACGGGAGGCAGCAGUAGGGAAUCUUCCGCAAUGGGCGAAAGCCUGACGGAGCAACGCCGCGUGAGUGAUGAAGGUCUUCGGAUCGUAAAACUCUGUUAUUAGGGAAGAACAUAUGUGUAAGUAACUGUGCACAUCUUGACGGUACCUAAUCAGAAAGCCACGGCUAACUACGUG
rnacentral:rRNA from 1 species